rnacentral:rRNA from 1 species
UGUAGCGGUGAAAUGCGUAGAGAUCUGAAGGAAUACCAGUGGCGAAGGCGGCCCCCUGGACAGAUACUGACACUCAGAUGCGAAAGCGUGGGGAGCAAACAGGAUUAGAUACCCUGGUAGUCCACGCCGUAAACGAUGUCUACUUGGAGGUUGUGGCCUUGAGCCGUGGCUUUCGGAGCUAACGCGUUAAGUAGACCGCCUGGGGAGUACGGUCGCAAGAUUAAAACUCAAAUGAAUUGACGGGGGCCCGCACAAGCGGUGGAGCAUGUGGUUUAAUUCGAUGCAACGCGAAGAACCUUACCUACUCUUGACAUCCAGAGAACUUAGCAGAGAUGCUUUGGUGCCUUCGGGAACUCUGAGACAGGUGCUGCAUGGCUGUCGUCAGCUCGUGUUGUGAAAUGUUGGGUUAAGUCCCGCAACGAGCGCAACCCUUAUCCUUGUUUGCCAGCACUUCGGGUGGGAACUCCAGGGAGACUGCCGGUGAUAAACUGGAGGUAUGUGGGGACGACGUCAAGUCAUCAUGGCCCUUACGAGUAGGGCUACACACGUGCUACAAUGGCGCAUACAGAGGGCGGCCAACUUGCGAAAGUGAGCGAAUCCCAAAAAGUGCGUCGUAGUCCGGAUUGGAGUCUGCAACUCGACUCCAUGAAGUCGGAAUCGCUAGUAAUCGUGGAUCAGAAUGCCACGGUGAAUACGUUCCCGGGCCUUGUA